rnacentral:rRNA from 1 species
UGGGAAUAUUGCACAAUGGGCGAAAGCCUGAUGCAGCAACGCCGCGUGAGUGAUGAAGGUCUUCGGAUUGUAAAGCUCUGUCUUUUGGGACGAUAAUGACGGUACCAAAGGAGGAAGCCACGGCUAACUACGUGCCAGCAGCCGCGGUAAUACGUAGGUGGCGAGCGUUGUCCGGAUUUACUGGGCGUAAAGGGUGCGUAGGCGGAUGUUUAAGUGAGAUGUGAAAUACCCGGGCUUAACUUGGGUGCUGCAUUUCAAACUGGAUAUCUAGAGUGCAGGAGAGGAGAAUGGAAUUCCUAGUGUAGCGGUGAAAUGCGUAGAGAUUAGGAAGAACACCAGUGGCGAAGGCGAUUCUCUGGACUGUAACUGACGCUGAGGCACGAAAGCGUGGGUAGCAAACAGGAUUAGAUACCCUGGUAGUCCACGCCGUAAAACGAUGAGUACUAGGUGUAGGAGGUAUCGACCCCUUCUGUGCCGCAGUAAAACACAUU